UUUGCUCUUGCCACCUCCACUAAAAGACGUGGGCUUUAGGCGUUUAAAGCGUAAGCUAACGCUUACACCUGUAACGUAAUAAAAGAAUAAAAUAAUAUGUUAGUAGAACUUAAAUUCAGAGAGGUGAGGAGUCCUACCUUAGAAAACUUAUGAGAUUUUUCUUUCUUUGGUCGAAAUACAGUGAACUCCUCUCUCUAGCCGAAUUUUAUCGGAAGCUCCCUCUCAAAUAUUUUAUGUGUAAGUGACAUCAUCUUCUUAAAAUAUAGUUUGUUUUUAAUAAAAAGUGAUAUUUUCAUCCAGGAUUUUUAUUUUAUAAGUUUUGUGUGUAAGUGAUUUCAUUUUCUUGAAAAAUAAUCAGUUCUUUUUAAAAAUGAAAUGAAAUAAUUACUUCUGCUUAUUAUUAUGAAUUUUAGGCGCGAUAAAUUUUAUGCGCAAGCGAC
rnacentral:lncRNA from 1 species